GGACGGCCUCUCCAGUGAUGAGCAGCACACAACCCCCAGGCCCCUUCCUCUUCCUCAAACCAGACAAAGCCACCUCACCGUCCGCCCAAGCUCCGCAAGCAUCCCAGACCACGGCCAUGAAGCCCGUCCACACACACAGGCGGGGUCCCCAGAGCGGACCCAACAUGCCGCCAGCCCCACAUGGGUGUCCCCACGCUCGGGGCGUGCAUGGCGCUCCAGCGCUGUCCUCCGCCCCCACCCGAACCUGGCCCACUUCCCCUCACACUGUGGGGGGCCAGGGCUGGUGCUGGGGUACCAACUCCUUCCACCUGCAGCUUCUCCUAGACACAUGGGGGCGGGGGGGGGGGAGGGGGGUAUGGCUUCCCUUCAACAUCGAGGACACCUCGGUGUCCUUCCUGGGACCCGAGGGCAAGCGCACAGGGGGGUCUAUGCCCCGGUCUCAGACUUCCUAGCUGAGGCUCAGCCCCAGGAGCUAGCUAGCGACUGGGGCUCCUCGAGGUGGCGGGGAGGGUAGGUGAGCUGGGGGGUGGGGCAUUCCUGGGCCUCAAAUUGGGCCCACGGAGGGCUAAAGGGCUUCAUCCUAGCCAUGGCUUUGACUGAGGGGGAGGGGAGCUGGAAGGACUUGGGGUUCUGUGAGUUGGGGCAAAUCAUGGAGAUGGCGAAGGCCUCGCAUGGGUCCUCCCCUCCCCCCGCCCCCCGGCGGGCUCCUUCCCCUCAGACAUACAUUUCCAGCUCUCGGCAAUCUUCCACGGGCCCAAUGAGAAGCACCAGAACAUUCCCUGACCUUACGCCCCUUCCGGGGAAUGAAGUGCCCCGGAGCAGUCCCGCCGCCCGAUGCCCAGGAGCCGGGCACCGGGCCCUCGAGACAGGCGAGCAGGAGGGACCUCACAGCCGCUGGAGGCCGCACUGGCAUCCACGGGGGACCCUGGCUGGCCUCAGCGACGGGCGGGCCUGAGAAGGGCCCCUGACUCCAAGGAGUCCACACUGAGAGUCACUCUGAGAGGCCAUGGGGUGGGGCCCCCAGAACCCCCAAAUCAAGGCUCUCGGCCUCAGGACCAGGCCAGGCGAUCGCUGAGGCUUGUGUAUGGUGGGGGAAAGAAGGGGUGUUCAGGGGCGGUGAAGCUGGGACCCUCUGGAUGGGCAGGGGCUGGACGAAGGGGCUGGGAUGGUACAACUUUCCCACGUCAGAGGAGUAUUUACACGUCUGGGGGCAGGGCCCAGGGGUCCGUGGUGGGUGGGGCCAGCGCCAAAAUCAGAAGGGGGG